rnacentral:rRNA from 1 species
AGAGUUUGAUCCUGGCUCAGGAUGAACGCUAGCGGCAGGCUUAACACAUGCAAGUCGAGGGGCAGCAUGGGAGUAGCAAUACUUCUGAUGGCGACCGGCGCACGGGUGCGUAACGCGUAUGCAACCUACCUGUAACAGGGGGAUAACACUGAGAAAUCGGUACUAAUACCGCAUAACACUAUGAGAGGCAUCUCUUGUGGUUGAAAGUUUCGGCGGUUACAGAUGGGCAUGCGUUGUAUUAGCUGGUUGGUAAGGUAACGGCUUACCAAGGCGACGAUACAUAGGGGGACUGAGAGGUUAACCCCCCACAUUGGUACUGAGACACGGACCAAACUCCUACGGGAGGCAGCAGUGAGGAAUAUUGGUCAAUGGACGGAAGUCUGAACCAGCCAUGCCGCGUGCAGGAAGACGGCUCUAUGAGUUGUAAACUGCUUUUGUACAAGGGUAAACCUGAAUACGUGUAUUCAGCUGAAAGUACUGUACGAAUAAGGAUCGGCUAACUCCGUGCCAGCAGCCGCGGUAAUACGGAGGAUCCAAGCGUUAUCCGGAUUUAUUGGGUUUAAAGGGUGCGUAGGCGGAUUGAUAAGUUAGAGGUGAAAUGUCCGGGCUCAACUCGGGAACUGCCUCUAAUACUGUUGAUCUAGAGAGUAGAUGCGGUAGGCGGAAUGUAUGGUGUAGCGGUGAAAUGCUUAGAGAUCAUACAGAACACCGAUUGCGAAGGCAGCUUACCAAUCUAUAUCUGACGUUGAGGCACGAAAGCGUGGGGAGCAAACAGGAUUAGAUACCCUGGUAGUCCACGCAGUAAACGAUGAUAACUCGUUGUCGGCGAUACACAGUCGGUGACUAAGCGAAAGCGAUAAGUUAUCCACCUGGGGAGUACGUUCGCAAGAAUGAAACUCAAAGGAAUUGACGGGGGCCCGCACAAGCGGAGGAACAUGUG